rnacentral:rRNA from 1 species
AUGGUUAAGUUAGAAAGGGCGCACGGUGGAUGCCUUGGCACUAGGAGCCGAUGAAGGACGGGACGAACACCGAUAUGCUUCGGGGAGCUGUAAGCAAGCUUUGAUCCGGAGAUUUCCGAAUGGGGAAACCCACUGCUCGUAAUGGAGUAGUAUCCAUACUUGAAUACAUAGAGUAUGAGAAGGCAUACCCGGGGAACUGAAACAUCUAAGUACCCGGAGGAAGAGAAAGCAAAUGCGAUUCCCUGAGUAGCGGCGAGCGAAACGGGAACAGCCCAAACCAAGAGGCUUGCCUCUUGGGGUUGUAGGACACUCUAUACGGAGUUACAAAGGAACGAUAUAAGCGAAGAGGUCUGGAAAGGCCCGCCAAAGAAGGUAACAGCCCUGUAACUGAAAUGUUGUUCUCUCCAGAGUGGAUCCUGAGUACGGCGGAACACGUGAAAUUCCGUCGGAAUCCGGGAGGACCAUCUCC